rnacentral:lncRNA from 1 species
CCGUAGCACAGGGGUGGCCCCAUGAGCAGAUGGCUGCCGCCUGGGCUGUGUCUGCAUGGACAUCGCAGUCUCUCCCUGGCUGCCCCACGGCCUCUGCCUGCGCUGCUGCCCCCUGCCACGCCAGGGCGUGGGGUCUUCUGCGCAGAUGCUGCUCACCGCCAGCUCGAGCCUGGUUUCUAGUGAAACUGCUCAAGGGUCUGCCUGGGUUAGUUUGGAUCCCCAAGGCUAAACAUCCUCUGCUGCCAUAUCGGGUCAAAGCUUCGGGCAAUGAGAGAGCGUGGUCGAUAUUCAUGGUCGGUGCUGUCCCGCCCCAGGAGCCGCUCACCCUGUGGGGAGAACUCCCACCCACUGGUGUGGUCGAUAUUCUCCAUGGUCAGUGCUGUCCGGCCCCAGGAGCUGCUCACCCUAUGGGGAGGACUCCCACCCACUGGUGUGGUCGAUAUUCUCCAUGGUCAGUGCUGUCCGGCCCCAGGAGCCACUCACCCUGUGGGGAGGACUCCCACCCACUGGUGUGGUUGAUAUUCUCCAUGGUCGGUGCUGUCCGGCCCCAGGAGCCGCUCACCCUGUGGGGAGAACUCCCAUCCACUGGUGUGGUCGAUAUUCUCCAUGGUCGGUGCUGUCCCGCCCCAGGAGCCGCUCACCCUGUGGGGAGAACUCCCAUCCACUGGUGUGGUCGAUAUUCUCCAUGGUCAGUGCUGUCCGGCCCCAGGAGCCACUCACCCUGUGGGGAGAACUCCCAUCCACUGGUGUGGUCGAUAUUCUCCAUGGUCAGUGCUGUCCGGCCCCAGGAGCCGCUCACCCUGUGGGGAGGACUCCCACCCACUGGUUUGGUUUGCUCCGCAAGCCCAGCAGGACCAAGGACUGGGACCACAGAGCCCUCCUCCCUACCCGCAGCGUCGGCGUGGCUCUCGUCUGCAGUCGGCAGUCACAGACCCUCUGGAACUCCUGCCCUGCCCGCUGCCCCACUGCCUGUCCUUUCCUGGCUAUGGAAUCAUCCCCUCGUCUUCACAGCCUUAUACAUACUCUGUAACAGACUACAUAGACGGUAGCCAUCUGCAAUAAAAAUGUUCCACUCCUGCCUUUCCAGCCCCACCCCCACUUCCCCUCCUUGUCUGAUGGCUCCAGCUCAGGGUCACUGCCAGCCUGCAGGCAUCCGCGGCUGCUGCCUGAGCGGCCUGCAGCACCUCCCGUCCGAGCGGAAUGAAACAGCGCCCGUGCCGGCUUCAGGCAUCCCCCAAACCCCUUACACAGCUGAGGAACUUCCAGUCUGCUCUUGACUGGCCAGGGUUUUGUCAUUGAUGGGUGAUGAGCUUUCUGAAAUUCCUUUCCUGCACCUACUGAGAUGGGCAUACGAGUUUUCUGCUUCUUUGGGUCUAUUGCUAAGAUAAAUC